rnacentral:rRNA from 1 species
GUGGGGAAUAUUGGACAAUGGGCGAAAGCCUGAUCCAGCCAUGCCGCGUGUGUGAAGAAGGUCUUCGGAUUGUAAAGCACUUUAAGUUGGGAGGAAGGGCAGUAAGUUAAUACCUUGCUGUUUUGACGUUACCGACAGAAUAAGCACCGGCUAACUCUGUGCCAGCAGCCGCGGUAAUACAGAGGGUGCAAGCGUUAAUCGGAAUUACUGGGCGUAAAGCGCGCGUAGGUGGUUCGUUAAGUUGGAUGUGAAAGCCCCGGGCUCAACCUGGGAACUGCAUCCAAAACUGGCGAGCUAGAGUACGGUAGAGGGUGGUGGAAUUUCCUGUGUAGCGGUGAAAUGCGUAGAUAUAGGAAGGAACACCAGUGGCGAAGGCGACCACCUGGACUGAUACUGUCACUGAGGUGCGAAAGCGUGGGGAGCAAACAGGAUUAGAAACCCGGGUAGUCC